GAUGAACGCUGGCGGCGUGCCUAAUACAUGCAAGUCGAGCGAACGGACGAGAAGCUUGCUUCUCUGAUGUUAGCGGCGGACGGGUGAGUAACACGUGGAUAACCUACCUAUAAGACUUGGAUAACUUCGGGAAACCGGAGCUAAUACCGGAUGAUAUUUUGAACCGCAUGGUUCAAAAGUGAAAGACGUUCUUGCUGUCACUUAUAGAUGGAUCCGCGCUGCAUUAGCUAGUUGGUAAGGUAACGGCUUACCAAGGCAACGAUGCAUAGCCGACCUGAGAGGGUGAUCGGCAACACUGGAACUGAGACACGGUCCAGACUCCUACGGGAGGCAGCAGUAGGGAAUCUUCCGCAAUGGGCGAAAGCCUGACGGAGCAACGCCGCGUGAGUGAUGAAGGUCUUCGGAUCGUAAAACUCUGUUAUUAGGGAAGAACAUAUGUGUAAGUAACUGUGCACAUCUUGACGGUACCUAAUCAGAAAGCCACGGCUAACUACGUG
rnacentral:rRNA from 1 species